AUACGUAGGGUGCGAGCGUUAAGCGGAAUUACUGGGCGUAAAGCGUGCGCAGGCGGUUUUGUAAGACAGGCGUGAAAUCCCCGGGCUCAACCUGGGAAUGGCGCUUGUGACUGCAAGGCUAGAGUGCGUCAGAGGGGGGUAGAAUUCCACGUGUAGCAGUGAAAUGCGUAGAGAUGUGGAGGAAUACCGAUGGCGAAGGCAGCCCCCUGGGACGAGACUGACGCUCAUGCACGAAAGCGUGGGGAGCAAACAGGAGUAGAAACCCUAGUAGUCC
rnacentral:rRNA from 1 species